rnacentral:rRNA from 1 species
CCCUUAGAUGUUCUGGGCUGCACGCGCGCUACACUGGUGCGUUCAGCGAGUUUAGCACCUUAACAGAUAUGUUUGGGUAAUCUUCUGAAAACGCACCGUGAUAGGGAUCGAUUAUUGUAAUUAUUAAUCGUCAACGAGGAAUUCCUAGUAAGUGUGAAUCAUCAGUUCGCGCUGAUUACGUCCCUGCCCUUUGUACACACCGCCCGUCGCUGCUACCGAUUGAGUGGUCCGGUGAAUUAUUCGGACCGGUGGACUGUGGGGAAACCCGCGGCCUGCUGGGAAGUCUUGUGAACCUUAUCACUUAGAGGAAGCAGAAGUCGUAACA